UACGAAGGGUGCAAGCGUUACUCGGAAUUACUGGGCGUAAAGCGUGCGUAGGUGGUUGUUUAAGUCUGCUGUGAAAGCCCCGGGCUCAACCUGGGAACUGCGUUUGGUACUGGCAAGCUAGAGUACGGCAGAGGGGGGUGGAAUUCCACGUGUAGCAGUGAAAUGCGUAGAGAUGUGGAGGAACACCGAUGGCGAAGGCAGCCCCCUGGGCCGAUACUGACGCUCAGGCACGAAAGCGUGGGGAGCAAACAGG
rnacentral:rRNA from 1 species